rnacentral:rRNA from 1 species
CGUAAGAGACCAAGUGCAGGUGCUGCAUGGCUGUCGUCAGCUCGUGUCGUGAGAUGUUCGGUUAAGUCCGGCAACGAGCGCAACCCACAUCCCUAGUUGCCAGCAGGUCAAGCUGGGCACUCUAUGGAAACUGCCCGUGAUAAGCGGGAGGAAGGUGUGGAUGACGUCAAGUCCUCAUGGCCCUUACGGGUUGGGCUACACACGUGCUACAAUGGCAGUGACAAUGGGUUAAUCCCAAAAAGCUGUCUCAGUUCGGAUUAGGGUCUGCAACUCGACCCCAUGAAGUCGGAAUCGCUAGUAAUCGCGUAACAGCAUGACGCGGUGAAUACGUUCCCGGGCCUU